rnacentral:rRNA from 1 species
GACGAACGCUGGCGGCGUGCUUAACACAUGCAAGUCGAACGGAAAGGCCCUGCUUUUGUGGGGUGCUCGAGUGGCGAACGGGUGAGUAACACGUGAGUAACCUGCCCUUGACUUUGGGAUAACUUCAGGAAACUGGGGCUAAUACCGGAUAGGAGCUCCUGCUGCAUGGUGGGGGUUGGAAAGUUUCGGCGGUUGGGGAUGGACUCGCGGCUUAUCAGCUUGUUGGUGGGGUAGUGGCUUACCAAGGCUUUGACGGGUAGCCGGACUGAGAGGGUGACCGGCCACAUUGGGACUGAGCUACGGCCCAGACUCCUACGGGAGGCAGCAGUGGGGAAUAUUGCACAAUGGGCGGAAGCCUGAUGCAGCAACGCCGCGUGCGGGAUGACGGCAUUCGGGUUGUAAACCGCUUUCGCCUGUGACGAAGCGUGAGUGACGGUAAUGGGUAAAGAAGCACCGGCUAACUACGUG